ensembl:lincRNA Gm2061 predicted gene 2061
GGGGACACCCCAAAGCGCCACGAGGAUCCCCCUGGCUUGGCUGCUGCGAAGGGCGGGUCCGGCGACCCCGCGCGCAGCGGGAGAAGCAGGCGCCGCAGUCCUGGAAGAUGAGCAGCCCCACCACGUUGACCGCCAGCCCCAGGGCUCCCACGAUAAGCACCAGCUCCGGGUCGUCGAUGCGCUCGGGCCGCGCGAGGCGCAACACGGCCUCCACGAAGAUGGUGAAGCAGAGCGCAGUGAGGAAGACUGCGUUGCUGAGCGCGCCCACCACCUCGGCCCGCACGUAGCCGUAGGUGGCACCGGAGCCGCGGGGACCGCGCCGCGCGAUGUAGCCGGAGCCCAGGCCCACGCACAGCGAGAUCAGGUCUGACAGCAUGUUGAACGAGUCCGAGAGCAGCGCGAUGGAGUUGCCCAGGUAACCCGACACCAGCUCGGCCACGAAGAAGGCCGCGGUGAGCACCAGCAUGAACAGCAGCCGGCACGUCUUGCCUGAGUAACGGCCCAUCUCUACAGCCCGCUGCGCCCCGCAACAGACCCUGUUCCAAGUGACAAUCACUCAAAGGGAACAUGUCCUGGACUUGAGAGUCUACACUGCAGCCCCUUCAGAAAGGGUAUUUGCUGUUGGUCACUUCGGAGACAGAAGUUGGUAACCAUCGACUGAGACCUGUAAGAUGGGAACAGCCUGAAGCCAGCCAGCAGCCAACAUCACUUUGAACAGGUCGCUGAUAAAGCCAAAUGAGUCCCUUUGAGAGCAGAGGCCGCUGGAAUUCACCUGCGGUUAUGGACACUGUGACUUUGGACUGCAGGUCUCACCCCUUCUCCAGGUAACAAGGGCAGCCCAGAGAGUCACUACGACACUGACUGCUGCUUGUCAACUCAGAUCUAGAAUCAGUCACUUGGGAAAUACGGGAAACCCUGAUGGAUUAACUGCAGUGGGAAGCUAGGCAGCACCAUUCCAUGAUCUGGGGUCCUGGGCCGUUCGAAAAGGAGAAAGGGUGUUGAGCAGGGUGUGGAAUUCUCAGCGAUUCCUGAGGGCUCAGAGACAUCGAUUCCUGAGAGCUCAGAGACAUCGAUUCCUGAGGGCUCAGAGACAUCGAUUCCUGAGUGCUCAGAGACAUCGAUUCCUGAGGGCUCAGAGACAGCGAUUCCUGAGGGCUCAGAGACAAGCUGCCCUGCCUCCUGCUCCAUGACUUCUUCACUGGGACACACUGCGUCCUCGAAGUCUCAGCUCAAACCAGCCCUUCCUUCCCUGAAUGGCGUUUGUCAGGUGUUCCUCACAGCAAAGAGAAGAACAAUGAAUAGGGGAACUCUUGUACUCAAGGCCUGCCUGUGGAGGUGUGGGCAUGAUUUGUGACUGGGGCAAGAAGAGGAGAGCAUUAGAGGCCAAACCAGGAAGUUCGGAAACACCUCCCAUUCAGAGUUCAACACUACAUACUGUGAAGUCUGAUGGGGGCAGGGGGGGGCAGGGGGGGGGAAGUAGUCAGCUGUGAGACUUCCAAUUCAAAUGAAGGAGAAAGAAUACUCAAAGUUUAAAAAUAUAUAUAUAUAGAAAAUGCCACCUUGGUGUUUAUUCUAAACCAUAGCCUUAAGGGCAAGUAAAAUUCUGUAUUGUUUCAUAAUGUACAAAAAGGUUGUAUGUACUAUUUGAAGCUGUCAGAACUAACACACACACACAGCUUUCUCCACUGCUGGACUUACCUUAAACUUUAGACUACGUGAAAAUGAAACUGUCCAUUGUCCAGGAAAAUAUGAGAAAUAGCUGUUCUUAGUUAGAACCCCUGUUGGCUGAGUGUGGCAGUGAAUGCUUGCACACCCCAGCCCUUGGGAGGCAAAGAUAGAAAGGUCACAAGCUCCAGGUCAGCCUGUUCUCUACACAGAGAGGCUCACACCAUCCUAGACAACGUAGGGAAAUGCUGUCACAAAGACUGUAGUUAGCGAAAACCUCCGGACACGUCCCCAGUGCACCGGUUACACACCCGUGGGAAAGCAUGGGGACACACGUGUCAAGAUCUCAGUUCCAGUACCAGCUCUGUCAGAUGUGAGCCUGCCUGUCACUUGUGUUCCCAUUAUGAGCUACACAUAGGGUACCACCCUCUUCCAUGGGAAUCAAAUAAAAUAGCAUGUGUGCUCAGCCAACAUACCACCAGCAGAGAAGCCGCAGGCAGCCCCUCCCCAUUAGCAUCUCACUGCCAACCUCCCCAGAACUUGACUUCUUUCACUAAGUAGCGUGGUAAGAGCAUCUUUGAGAGGUAUUUAGAAUGUUACCUUUUUCAUAAAAUUGUCUACUUUCCCUUGGCCAAAUUAAUCUAGUUUAAUUGGCUUAGAACUAACUAGUUACUGGUCAGCAGAGUAUUUUAUAAAACUAAACAUACUUAAAGGGUUAGGGAAUGUAGCAUUGGUGGCAUAGAGCCUGCCUGGCAUAUGUAAGACCCUGUGUUCAAUCCGUCCACCACCGUCACAUACACUGUCAACAACAACAACAGCAAUAGCAACAACAUCAAAACCAGAAGGUUGACUGGACGUUGGAAAGAUGGCUUAGUGAAGACCAUGUCUUGCUCUUGAAGAAGAUGUAAGCACCUAUGUGAGGUAGCUUAUGAUUUGGUUAUGAGUACCCACCUGAGGUAGCUCCAGGUGAUCGGAUGCCUUCUCUGGGGCUCUGAGGGCAACAGUGCCCAAAGGUAAACACACCCAGAUACGCAUAUGUAUAGUUUAUUCUCUAAAACAUGUAUUAAAAUAAAUGUAUUAUAAAUCUUCACUCU